UUAAUAUUUGUUUUUACUGAAGAUACUGCUACUACAAAGGUUUUUGUUGGUCCUCGUGGCAGGCAAGCCCACCGAGGAAACGAACGGUACUCAUAAACAAAGGGUGCCAUUUGGCGCGUUUUAAGGCCGCCGCCGUGCAAGCAUUUCUGCAAGCACCAUUAAUGAUCCCUCCGCUGGUUCACCAACGGAGA
rnacentral:misc_RNA from 1 species